rnacentral:rRNA from 1 species
AGCAGCCGCGGUAAUUCCAGCUCCAAUAGCGUAUAUUAAAGUUGCUGCAGUUAAAAAGCUCGUAGUUGAAUUUCGGGACCAAUAUGUCGGUCGUGCCUCGGUACGUACUGGCAUCGUUGGUUUCUCCCUUCUGACGAACCAUGAUGUCAUUUAUUUGGUGUCGUGGGGAAUCAGGACUGUUACUUGAAAAAUUAGAGUGUUUAAAGCAGGCUCACGCUUGAAUACAUUAGCAUGGAAUAAAUGAAAUAGGACGUUUGAUUCUAUUUUGUUGGUUUCUAGGAUCGACGUAAUGAUUAAUAGGGAUAGUUGGGGGCAUUAGUAUUCAAUUGUCAGAGGUGAAAUUCUUGGAUUUAUUGAAGACUAACUAACUGACGAAAACAUUUGCCAAGGAUGUUUUUCAUUAAUACAAGAACGAAAGUUAGGGGAUCGAAG